UGACAAGUCCAACGUGCCAAUGGUGGGUUA
rnacentral:piRNA from 1 species